rnacentral:rRNA from 1 species
CGAUGAGUAGGGCGGGACACGUGGUAUCCUGUCUGAAUAUGGGGGGACCAUCCUCCAAGGCUAAAUACUCCUGACUGACCGAUAGUGAACCAGUACCGUGAGGGAAAGGCGAAAAGAACCCCGGCGAGGGGAGUGAAAAAGAACCUGAAACCGUGUACGUACAAGCAGUGGGAGCACGCUUAGGCGUGUGACUGCGUACCUUUUGUAUAAUGGGUCAGCGACUUAUAUUCUGUAGCAAGGUUAACCGAAUAGGGGAGCCGAAGGGAAACCGAGUCUUAACUGGGCGUUAAGUUGCAGGGUAUAGACCCGAAACCCGGUGAUCUAGCCAUGGGCAGGUUGAAGGUUGGGUAACACUAACUGGAGGACCGAACCGACUAAUGUUGAAAAAUUAGCGGAUGACUUGUGGCUGGGGGUGAAAGGCCAAUCAAACCGGGAGAUAGCUGGUUCUCCCCGAAAGCUAUUUAGGUAGCGCCUCGUGAAUUCAUCUCCGGGGGUAGAGCACUGUUUCGGCAAGGGGGUCAUCCCGACUUACCAACCCGAUGCAAACUGCGAAUACCGGAGAAUGUUAUCACGGGAGACACACGGCGGGUGCUAACGUCCGUCGUGAAGAGGGAAACAACCCAGACCGCCAGCUAAGGUCCCAAAGUCAUGGUUAAGUGGGAAACGAUGUGGGAAGGCCCAGACAGCCAGGAUGUUGGCUUAGAAGCAGCCAUCAUUUAAAGAAAGCGUAAUAGCUCACUGGUCGAGUCGGCCUGCGCGGAAGAUGUAACGGGGCUAAACCAUGCACCGAAGCUGCGGCAGCGACGCUGAUGCGUUGUUGGGUAGGGGAGCGUUCUGUAAGCCUGUGAAGGUGUGCUGUGAGGCAUGCUGGA